rnacentral:rRNA from 1 species
UACAGAGGGUGCGAGCGUUGUUCGGAAUUAUUGGGCGUAAAGGGCGCGUAGGCGGUGCGGCAAGUCACCUGUGAAAUCUCCGGGCUUAACUCGGAGCCUGCAGGCGAAACUGCCGUGCUGGAGUGUGGGAGAGGUGCGUGGAAUUCCCGGUGUAGCGGUGAAAUGCGUAGAUAUCUGGAGGAACACCUGUGGCGAAAGCGGCUCACUGGACCAUAACUGACGCUGAUGCACGAAAGCUAGGGGAGCAAACAGG